rnacentral:lncRNA from 1 species
GUAUUCCAUGUCAUUGGGUCUAUUAUCCUUCCAAACCAAUAGCAAGGGGGCCCUGUUACAACGGAAGAUGAAGCUUGGUUAUCCAAUCAUCAACCCUCGAGAGUGAGAUCAAGGAUCCUCCUCCAGAAGAAUUCCAGAAGUUCAAUAUUUGGUAAGCCUCAACUCUAGGUCUGAUUUAUUGAAGAAAGCAUCCUAAUCUAGUGGUUUCUCAACCACAACGGUCCAU